rnacentral:sRNA from 1 species
CAAAGAUCUUCCUGGCUCUACUUCUUAGGUGUUAGGAUUCAAAGUGUGCCACCAUGACCCACGCCCUGCUGUGUGAGCAUAUUUUAAGAUUUUCAACAUAACUAUCCGUUUUCCUCCUUGUAGUGGAGGAGGGACCUGAGGUACCAGUCAGGUUCUAUACCCAGGGUCCUGUAGCACAGGCUGGAACCAGACCCAGUUGGACCAAGGUUGCACUCUCAGCAGCUAAGCUAUUGGAUAACCGAGUUGCUUAAUGCGACCCUUGUUGUCUAGUGUUGUGGUUUUGUUUUGUGUUCUUUUCUCUCUACCAGGCUUGCUCUACUGGAUUGGUCCACGGCUGAAUACAUGCUUUGUCUUUGGUUGCUAGCACAAAAGCCUUUUCUAUGAAUGUUCUUUCUCCUGGCCUAAUUAUUCCAAAGCAGGAGCACCUGUGUUAUCUGAAGGGCACUAGGCCGCUGGUCCCUGAGGCGACAGGCUUGAGAAAGCACCCAGUGGGAUGAGUGUAUCUGAAGGAGCCCAAGCCCUGCUGCCUGCAACCCUAUAACUAGGUUAAUUGUUAUGAUGGCGGCGUUCAGAGCCAUGAUCUCUGAGGUCACGAGGCCAAGGGUUUCUGGUAAAGAGCCCAGAGUUCAGGGUGGAAGGCGAGGCCCAAACAACAGGAAGAAAAUGAGGUCAGCCACACAAGCGUUACAACACGAGGCUGUACUAGGAAAAGCAAAUGUAAAAAAGUCUCUUGCUGUCAGGCUCACUGUAGAAUGGCGGUGGCCACAGCGCUGGGUGGGUCGCAGAAGAACAUUGUUCUGCCCUGUGGAGCGAAGAUCACUUCUGAGGGGCAUCCUAACGACCACGACAACCUUCGGUACCCAACCCAUUCUCCUUUCCCGUGAUUCCUGACAGUGCCACGCCUUAGUUCCCGUUCAGAUGGAGUUCCCUCUACUGGUUUUAGUUCUCGGGGACAUUCUUACGGUUUACUGUCCCUGUGGAUUGGGAAUUAGGCUGAGACUUCAGAAUCUCUUCACAGCAGUUUAGAGCAGUCUGGGAACUGUUUCAACACUAGCUCUGAGAAUCCGCCAUUGCCCCAGUAGCGAGAAGCAGCACCCAGAAACCUGUUCUUUCCUGUCAUAUUGCUUAUGGGUUAGCCUGGCCUUCGGUUCUGACCCAAGUCCAGAUCUGCUGGCACCAUGAAGCUGCAACUGGGCAGUGUUGAUACAUUUUCUGCAUUGCACAACACAUGCGUUUGCUUGCUUUAUGACUUCAUUAUUUAUUUAAAUUUACUUCGAAGACUGCUGUGGUCCCAGACUGUUGGAAAUUUUGAGUUCCAAACUGGGUUUUAGUCUGUUCCCAAGUCUCUGGUGAUUUGGACAAAACCUAUUCUGUAGGGUAGGGAUAUCCUGCUUGUCUUGUUGAAUUUGGAUGCCUUCUGGUUUUUGUAACUAUGAAUAAAAGUGCACACAUAUUGUUCUGGUUUUAAACAUGGUCAGGCUUUGGUCCCUAAGACUUCCUGUGGAAGUUCUGGAGCUGGUAGCUGGCUCCCUGGUCAGUUCUCUUUGUCCAUUCAGAUCAUACUGGUUGUAUUUUAGGAUCCUGAGCAAAUGGAAAAAUAUACUUAUCUCACAUUGAAAUGUGUAAUAUAUUAAAGAAAGGUGAUCCAUGAGAAUAUAUUCUCUUUUCACAGGUCAGACACAUAACUCGGCUACAUCACAUGACAGAACCUAACAAAUGGAGCCCUGACAAACCGGUGCUCUUGUAUCCUUGCCGUGGAACACCCUUGGUCAUCCAGCAGGCUGUUCUUAAAGAACCCACUGCCGGGAGUUACUAAGGACUCACUGCAGCGCGCCUCCCUGAGGAGAAACACAGAAAGGAAUAGCAAGUGUGGCUCCCUGUUCCAACCUAGGCUUGGCGUGUGAGAGGCCCUGGACUCGAUUCCCAAAACCAGGAACCCAUUGCCAAAAGAACUUAUUAGUAUUAUUAGUGACACCAGAAACAUUGACCAGAGCCCAAGGUAGUUAUCUCUCUGUGCCAACAUUUAAGGUAACCUUUCUUUUUCUUAUUUGUCUAUAUUUGCUUGCUUGGUUUUUAAAGACAGGGUCUCAUAUAACCAUUGCUGUCCUCAAACUCACUCUGUAGCCAGGGCUGACCCAGGUAAGCACCAUAGCAGUAUUAUCAUUGUUUGAUGCUAACAGGGGCUAUAGAUGAUGAUGGUGAUGAUGACGAUGAUGAUGAUUUUGUUUUCUUGAGCUCAUUGCAGUGAAAAUGCAUUAACUUAAAUUUGGUCUACCCUGUGGUGUUUUGGGGUUAUGGUUGGGGCUAGAGUUUUUCUUUGAAAAGUACAGGCUGGGUGUAGAGUUUACUGAGGAGUUCAGAGCACCUCUAACACUAGCACUCAGGAGGCAGAGCUUAGGAGUUCGAACCUGGGCUACUUAGUGGGAACCCUGAAGAGUCUGUUAGCCUGGCACACAUUGAGAGACCUCCCCCACGCCCUCCGUGAAGAAUGUUUGCGAUAAACAUUUGCAGUAAAGGCAAUGGGUGCCUAACAGAAGCUGACGAUGGCACAUCCUACAGACCCAGCGAGCUGUCCACACAGUCCCUUCUGCAUCCAUAUUAACUAAGGAACAGCAAAGCAACAGGAAAACUGGAUGUUACAUGAUGUGAACCAUGUAGCAGGAAGUUCGACACCCCCCCACCCCCCUUCAAACGCUGUUAGCAUCUCAGGUUCAGAGUACUUAGAGGAGUAUGUGUUAAGUUUACUACUUUUUGUUUCUUGGCAUCUACAUGUCCCUGAGUUAGAAACGUGAGAGUGACUCCCCCAAAACCAUCCUCCAAGCUAUGAAGUCAGUGGGUUUUCUCUACAACUCAAACUCUAGAACUGUAUAUACAAUCAUGUCUAUUUUACUCAAAUUUAAAUGAGGUAAAAUUAAAUAUUUCUUUAGCUAUAUUGGGCACAUUUGAAGAAACAGUGACAUUGGAUGACUGGUGGCUGCAGUACUGACUCACUCAGAUAAGGGCCCUCGUCGCAGAAAGCUCUCCUGAACCAAACUGUGGGGCUCCAGUAAAACUCAGAGGCUCGCACACGGAUGACUGUUAAUUGAAGGUCUUGCAACUCAGCUCAGGUCAGCAAGAACCAGGCCUGUGGCUUCAGAAAUGGGAGGGAGAGAUGGUCUCUUGGCUGCUGAAACUAUAGACAACAGAUGCAGUGGGGGGUGGGGGAGAAGGGGUUGCGUCUUCCUUGGCUAACAUUAUCUGAGUACCGGAGAGAGUAGAAAGACUCUUGACUACAAUGGUUGAAGAUUAUGUCCAUAAGAUCUAAGAGCUCUCACUAUUCGUCCUUGCUAAAGAUAACAUGGGUCAGUUCUGUGGUUCUAAUUCACAAACGGGGUGGGGGGGAUAUUGACAGAAUUUAACACGCGUGAAUUGAGAAGAAGUUUGAUGGCCUGUCUUUGACACCACCUGUUUUUGAGUUCCUUCUGUUUUUUUCCUGACUCUGUUUUUGAUUGAUGUUCAACAGUCGGUGGGAAAGGUUCAUAUAAUGGAUGGUCUCUUAAAUUCUUGUACUGAUUUGUAUUUCUAUUCGUUUCCCCACAUCCACUGGGCACUCCAGUUCGCUAGAUUCCUUUUAUUGGUGUUAAAGUAACUUUUGGUGACGCCUACUCUUAUCUCAUACUUUUACCUCAUGACUGCACUAAACAGGCCUUAAGGUUAGGUAGUAGUCAUUAAUUUAUUUGUAUUUCUGGAGAAUGAGCGUGGGGUUUUGGACAUGCCAAGUAAGCAUUUUACUGAGCUAUAAUCACUGUCCUUUUGGAUUUGAAGAAGAGUCUCAUUAAGUUGCCGAAGUGGCCUUGAACUUACUGCCUACCCUUCCUAGGCCUUGAACUUAUGGUCCUCCUUCCUUGGCCUCAUGGGUAUCUGGAACUACAGAUUUGUUCAGAUUAGAGUAGUACGUACAAUUUAUGGCAUUGCCUAAAGAAAUUUAAACAUAGCUAAAAUUGUGGAAUAUCCCAUUUAAUUCCCCCCUUCUUUUUCCAUUUUUAUCUACUAGGAACUAUUUUGAUGGUCAGGGAAACACUUAAAUGAUUUAGCGUGAAUGACUGAACUGAAUGUAAGGAGCCAGCUUGCUGGGGAUUAAAUAAAUCCUGCUUUCAUUUCGGCGAAGGCCGCUCCAACUAAGUUUUCCAAGCAUUUGUCAUGCAGCAAGGAGAACCACAGGCCCUUAGCAGAAUUCUCCGCUUUCACUCUGCCGGUCUCAGAGGCAAUGCUGUCUGCAUACACCGUCAUGAUAUUUCCGUAACAAAGCACAGUUGACAAAAAGGGAACCGCCAAGAAAAUAGAUUUGUUUCUGCAGAUGGCAGGAGAAGGGAUGGGGUACCUGGCCAUGUUUCACAACACAGUUCACAACAUCCCAGUCUCUCUGCUGCUCAGUCUUUCACAGGCCAGAAGGUAGAAGAUUGUCUGUUUGCAGGAGACUCCCUCAGGAAUCGGUGUGAGAUGUUCAAACGCACCCGGAGUCAGCGUGCUGACAAUGAUCAGGAAAAAAAGAUGAACCCCACGAGCAUCUGGGCUGUGUACAAAGAGCCAUCGCGUCGCAGACUCGGGAGUGAUAUAUGACCCACCUGGAAAAGUGCAUUUAGCUUGGAUAAGCUCGAUUCCAGAAGUACAGGGACCGUUGGAGAGAGUUAAGAGAAAACCGUUUUGAAUGAUGAGGUCACGACUAAAGUGUGAAUGCGGGAUGCAAACCCCGGUCAUCACACUUUGAGUUGUGCUAAGGGGCAAGCUGUGCAUUACGUUUCCUUGCCCAUCCCUUGGAAGAAGUGCUGUUCUCUCGUCUUGAGGGAAAAGGCAACGUACAUCCUGCAGCCUCUUGGCAGGGCCAGGAGGUUCCAUAGAUUGUCCUGUGAAAUUCCCAUUUGUGUCGAUGGAGAAUCCAGGCACCGGGAAGAGGAAACCCAAGACUCUCACAACAGUGACAGAAAUCUCCGAGCGAAGCAAGAAUGUGAAGCAAUGGUGUGUUUUAAACCUGAGGUACUGUGGUGAUCCAUUAUCCUGCCAGUGACGCUGAGCCUCAGACCUGUGUGUUCACGUGUACCCAGGGAUGACUAACACACGUGGGAUAUUCCCUUUGGUGUGUUUAAUAAUUUUAGUCAAAAUAGGAAACGUACCUACAGUUCACCUCAUGCCAAAUCAAACAAGAUUACUCACAUGACCCAUGUCUCGCUGAUAGAUGAAUUCUGACGGGGAAAUGUCAAAACAUGACGCAUGGCUUUUGAUUUGCACUUAGUCUGCAGGGAGCUGAGCGGUGGCUCUCUCCAAAGGAGAAAAACCCCAGCUAGGGCUUCCCUGGAAACUUCUACAAGAAUUCAUACAGAACUGGCCCCCAGCUGCCAUUUAAAAGGUCUCUUCUCUUGGAGUAUCCAAACACACUCCAAUGUCCUCAGACUGGCCAUUUCGGCCUUCAGCUUCGGAAAGUCGUGAUAACUCAGAAUGACAGCUAGACAUGGAAGUAGAAGAAUGACAAGGAUAAACAGGUAUGGGGGUGGGGGGUGGGGACAGAGCAAGGGCCACACUUACUGUAAGGACACUAAGGCUUCCACAAACCUCUAUUAUCACCCACAAGUCAUAUCAGGUGGGAGCCCUGUGAGGUAACUCUGUUGUCCUUAUUUCAAGGUCAAGACUUAGGACCUUGUGUGUGUAUGUUGUGUGAGUUUGAGUGUGUGUGUGUGUGUGUGUGUGUGUGUGUGUGUGUGUGCCUAGAGGUUGAUACUGAGUACCUUCCUCAGUAGAUGACUACUUUAUCUUUUUGAAGACAGGGCUUUUCACUGAAGCUCACUGUGUUUAUAGACUGGCUGGCCAGUUGACCUAUGAGUUCUAGAAUCUUCUGUCUCUGCCUACUCCCAGAAGAGAGGGGUGACAGGUGUACACCGUGUCUGUCUUUUACAUGGCGUGCUCAGGAUGGCACUCACAUCCUCAUGGCCUUGUGGUAAGAACCACUGACCUGGCCACUUUUGUUGAAAAUCAAGUGCUAUGUAUGGAGUUGGACUUGAAUCCACAUCCAGCAUUAUUAAAGACUUCCAACAGGGUCCUUCUCUUCUUUAUUAGCACCACAAGGUGAUGAACCUUAUCAUACACAUACUUGGGGGAUAAAUACUGAUUUUCUUGUGUGUUUUUAUCCUCUAAUGUCACUUUUGGUGGUUUUAGGCCAGUUUAAUAUAGGUUUUCAGAUUCUAAUUUUUUUCGGUGGUGGGUGUUGGAUGGCUCCUUUUGUAUGAUCCUGAUAAAUGACAGUUGGUUGUACUGUACUGUUUUACUGAGAUAUUUCUUUUUUCUCCCUGAGUGCCAACCACAAAGGGAGGAGAAAGAAGAGGUUCUUUACCUGGAUUAUAUAACCUGGACACACAAGCUAAUAACAUUAAGGAGGGUGACGACAGCCAAUGAGUGCAGACUUCAUUUGUCAGGCCCACUGUUGGAUGGUUUGUGGACAGGAGUUAUUCCAGUACUCGCGACAUGCUGAGCAAAGUGUCACUGUGACAGUUUCACCAAUCCCACAGUGGCCCUAAGUCCCCGAGGAACCAGGAAUAUCCUUGUACUUGUCGGAGUUUUACAGAUUAAAUGUGACAAUCUCUGGAAGGCCUCCAAGCCAUGUAACAUGAAUUCGCCUCAUGCCACUCAUGCCAUUGCUUCUUGACGUCGGCUAAAACGGUUAAUGACACUGGGUCAAGAGACACUGGCGGAGACCAGCCUGCGUUGUCUCUAGUGAAACAGGGAGCCAGGUGCUACCUGCCUAACUCCGUCAGAGUGUCUGCAAAACACAUCAUGGAACCUCCCUCGCCUGUCGGGGUUUUCUCUUCCAAGUCCCCACAGCUGCUCGACUUUGAGUGGGCAUGGUUUAUUAAUGACCUUCCCUGACUGGGCAUACGUGUUUUUGGAAUCCAUUUCCCUCAGGACCCAUGUACAUGAGUUCUCCUUAGACUUUAGGAAAAGCCUCAGUGAAUGGCAUCAGAAAUGGCAUUCCCAGGUCCAGGGUCCACUCAGCCCAGCUCUGCACUUAGGUGUCCUUCAUGAUACAGGUUCCUGGAUAUACACACAUCCAGGCAUGGUCUCCAGGAAGUGCUAUGGCUGCAGAUGCAGUACAGCCAUACAUCACUUGCCUAGGAUAUGAAAGCCAUGGCUCAAAACACGGUCUCACGACCAUCCAAAACCAUACCACCAGCAAAAAUAUUUAAACAUCUAUAGUCUCACCAUUCAGGAGUCGAGGCAAGAGGGUUGUUGUGAGUUGCUGGUUAGCCUUGGCUAUGUAAGUGAGCUUCAGACUUUGUGUAAGUUAUGUCUCCCUCCUAAGAGUGCUCUGAGGAGACCACGCUCUCCUCGGCACUACACUCAUAGAAAACCACUGACACAGCCCAUCCUAUUCUUUCUCUUCCUUAGGCUUGGAAUUUCUAGAGCAGGUUUUCACUGACGAUGCAGCAGACUGCCGGGUAUCCAUUUGUGUGAGAGAUGAGAAGGUUUGACGCACAAAGCCACCAGAAUCUUGGCAACAUUGAGUCAAUGGCACCUAGCACAUCACAGUAUUAUAAUCGGCGUUUGCCCAGCUCCCUUCCCCCUUACUUGCAGAAACCAAAACCAAAACCAAAAACAAACCACUGACUUCCACUAAGAAUGUCUUUUAAGGACAGCAAAAACUAUUGCAAAAAUCCAAAUCCCUGAACAUGUAUCAUUAACAUGACUUAUGACAGAAGCAAAAUGCCUCCAAAACAUAGUUCAAUGUCUAGGAAGAUGGCUCAGCGGAAAAGGGAGCUAACUAUGCAAGUGUGCAGUCCUGAGUUCAAAUCCCCAACAUCUCAGUAAGACAGGGGAACAUUACUGCACAGUCUUAUGAUGCCGGCACAUGGAGCAGAGAUCCUGGAACUUUCUGGCCAGCCUAGCGACAAGCUUGAUGUUUAGAGAGAGAUGAGAGAACUUCCUCACACUCGUGUGCAUGCAUUACGCACACACACACACACACACAUACACAUACACACACAUACACACACACACACAUACACACACAUACACACACACACAUAUGCAGUCCAAUUCCAGCAGAAGUCCGUCUUGUUGAAAACACUUGUGAACUCUUAGUGUCAGGGGCUGAACCCGAUGUCCCUGCCAUGAAUGUCAUCUCUACUUCAGGAGCAGCUAGCAGACACACUAGGGUGGACUUGUGUGCUCUGCAGAGAUAUUCUGUAGCAAACGAAUAAAGAGCCUGUCGCUGCAAGGAAGACACCCAAUGAGAGGUGUUGCCAAUGACAUAAACACCCAGAUACAAAGCGUCACCUAACGAAAGAUGUGAGCCUGCCCUGUGAGCUUGAUCCUUUCCCACAUCCUUGAGAUGGGCUAUUCUGAUGCACUCGGUGCUGACGGUCACAGAAGUGUUCCUUCGUAGGUGUGCAACUGUGGUGGCAUUUAGGAAAUUCUGUAUGUCAGUGAAACUAUUUUCCAAGUGAGCAAUUCGCGAUGUCUCAGCAUCCUGCAUGUAAUCUAUGGGGAAAUAUUUGCUUCAAAUGUAAGACUUAUCAAAGCAUUUUACUAUAAGCAAGCUUUAACGUUUUCUUUUUUUUUUUCUGUGUGUGAAUGUGACCAUGCAUGAGUAUGAGCACGUGAGUGUGGAUGUACUUGGAGUCAAGGAGAGGGCAUCGGAUCUCCUGGGGAUGGAGUCAUAGGUAGCUGUGAGCUGUCUGAAGGUGCUGGGAAUUGAACUCUAAUUCAAAGCAGCAAGCGCUUUCAAUGACUGUACCACCUCCCUGUCCCUAACAACAGAGUUGUUAAACUAAACAUGGUUUCAAAUCCCAUCUUGCAAUUGGCCUCUACUCCAGAAGGUUUGUCACUGAGCAGAGAAUCAAGCUUACUUGAAAAGGUCAUUAGAAUAUUCUUUCCUAGCAAUUCUUACCUACCCAACACAACACCUCAAUAUGACAGACGGGCCUAGAAGGGGAGAGGAGAACGUAGUUCCCUCAACUCAAGCCUCAAACAUAUUCACAAAACAUUCAAAUAACAUCACUUCUCUUCCUAAUCUUCCAUUUUAGAAAUGUGCUUAUUUUUCUUUAAAAAGAAAAUGUGUUUUAUGGGGCUAGCAAGAUAGACCAGCAGAUAAAGGCCUUUGCCACCUCAAAAGCAAGCUUAGCAACCUGAAUUUGAUCCCAAGGCCUCAAGGGAAGCUAUGGGGAGAGAAAUGGCUCCACGAGGUUGUCCUCUAACCUUGAAGUGAGUGGAUGCACACACAUAAUCAUAUAUUAAAUUACAUUUUAUAAUGUGUCACAUGAAAUGGGCUUGUUAUGACUCUUUUAUUGAAUUAGCAAUGGCUCAUGCACGCACAAUAAUAAUAAAUUAAAAUUUAUAAUGUAUCACAUGAAAUGGGUUGAUUGUGACUCUUUUCAAUAGAAUUAGUAAACACAUAUUCAGUUUUUUCAGUUGUAAUUUCCAAUGUGAUCAAUAUUUAAGGCUAUGACCCACAUAAAGGGAAGCUCGUGUGCUCCUGGAUACUUUUUCAAUUUGUGAGACUGCAUCUCAUGCAGUCCAGUCUGGCUUCUAACUUACUAACCAGGUAGUUGAGAAUGGCCUUAGUCUUCUGAUCCUGUUGUCCCUGUCUCCUGAGUGCUGGGGACAGAGCCACUCGCCCGCACACCUAGUGUAUGGAGUGCUCACAGCUGCUGGGUGAGCGUCCCUACAGCCCCAGACCCCUCUGUAAGGAUGGAAAGUUUAAAAAGAAUAGAAGUUCCUGGUGCUACCCCUGCUUCAUAACAGGGCAGUGUUUGACUGAGACUCAUUAACUACAUCCACUAGUAUUCACAGAGAAGAGCUGCUAGUUACGCGAUGAGUUGGGUACCAGUUGUAUGAAGGGAACAGAAAGCCAGUUUGUUUCUCUUUAAAGACUGUGUUGAGACAGUCGCAUCCUGACACUUACUUAUUUAACUAUCAAACUAUAAGUCUGACAUUUCCUUGAGAAAGGGUAAUUCCAGGACCUUUCCUAGAUUUUGUUUUGUUUUGUUUUUUUAGAUUGAGCCUGAUGAACCCGGCCUAUAAUCCUGGCUGGGUUAGGAAGCUGAGGCAAGAGGGUCAAAAGUUUAAAGUCUGCUUAGACUGUGGAGUGAGCUCAAGCUCAGCCCAGGGACCGUAAACUGAGGGCUGAGAAGCCAUCGCUUGCAUGAGGUGCUGGCCUGAAGUACUGCAAAGGAGAAAACAAAGGAGGUCUUUAAAGUCUUGUUUGACUUUCCACUUUUCAGUCCUCGGGAUAAAACCCAGGGCCUCGGGUAUGCUGGGUGAACUCUAUACACCACGGCACCAGUUCAUUGGCUAUCUUUAAAUAUGGUAUUAUGGCUGUGAUGUAAGGUAUUUCUAUGCUUACUCAUUCCAGUUUCCUAUGGCAACGUUUUGAGAUCCUCUUAGCCUCGGAGGGAGAUGGAGAGAAGGCUGUACGUUGUGGAGGUACUCAGAGUGAGUUCUGAGUAGCCUAACUCAUGGCCUAAAGUCUCACAGGCACAAGAAGCACAUUGACUGUGCUCUGUCUUAAACCCCAGGCUGCUUACUUCUUUCCUUUGCUAGUACCACUCUGCCUCCUGCGAACCAAGCUAACUUCCGACGGGAGACUAGCUGGUGCUGGCUUUUUGGAAGGGAUGUGCUCAGGGACACUGUGAAGAUGCUCCUUUUAGUCCCAUUGACUAGAGGGGAUACCAAGUCUCAUCCUACUACUAGGCAAAGCUGUCCUUUGUCGAUGGGUGCUUCCGAGGUAGGAUUUAACAGUCUUGGAGAACAUAAAAUACGUAUGCCUCUUCCCAUUGAUUGGAUUUACAUGAAAUGAAAUUUAGUAUGUAGACAGAAAAACAAACAAAGAAACAAACACACACACACACACACACAAACCUACAAGCACACAAGCACCCUGGAUGCUCCAGUUACGUUGUGAGACAGCACUCUGGUGAGAGGCCUUCAGGGCCUUCUCUCAUGGGACUGACAUUCUCUUCCCUGUCUUCUUGGAGAACCACAAGCUUGUCUACUGAGAACUGACAGUGGUAUUCUGCAAGGCCAGGUAAUUUUUAAUAAUCACUUUGAGCUCUGAGACUCUCAGAGU